rnacentral:rRNA from 1 species
AAUCAACGCUGGCGGCGUGCCUAACACAUGCAAGUCGAACGAGAAAGCGGAGCAAUCCAUGAGUAAGGUGGCGACCGGGUGAGUAACACGUGACUAACCUACCUCCGAGUGGGGAAUAACUCCGGGAAACCGGGGCUAAUACCGCAUAACAGCGCAAGAUCAAAGCAGCAAUGCGCUUGGAGAGGGGGUCGCGGCUGAUUAGCUAGUUGGCGGGGUAACGGCCCACCAAGGCGAAGAUCGGUAUCCGGCCUGAGAGGGCACACGGACACACUGGAACUGAAACACGGUCCAGACUCCUACGGGAGGCAGCAGUGGGGAAUUUUGCGCAAUGGGGGAAACCCUGACGCAGCAACGCCGCGUGGAGGAUGAAGCCCUUUGGGGCGUAAACUCCUUUCGACCAAGACGAUAAUGACGGUACUGGUGGAAGAAGCACCGGCUAACUCUGUGCCAGCAGCCGCGGUAAUACAGAGGGUGCGAGCGUUGUUCGGAAUUAUUGGGCGUAAAGGGCGCGUAGGCGGUGCCACAAGUCACUUGUGAAAUCCCCGGGCUUAACUCGGGGCCUGCAGGCGAAACUGUGGUGCUGGAGUAUGGAGAGGUGCGUGGAAUUCCCGGUGUAGCGGUGAAAUGCGUAGAUAUCGGGAGGAACACCUGUGGCGAAAGCGGCGCACUGGACCAUAACUGACGCUGAUGCGCGAAAGCUAGGGGAGCAAACAGGAUUAGAUACCCUGGUAGUCCUAGCCCUAAACGAUGAUUGCUGGGUGUAGCAGGUACCCAAUCCUGCUGUGCCGCAGCUAACGCGAUAAGCAAUCCGCCUGGGGGAGUACGGUCGCAAGGCUGAACUCAAGGAAUUGACGGGGGGCCGCACAAGCGGUGG